AAUCCAGAUGGCGCCUCAGGGGAAUCAGCCCGGCCCAUGUCCUUCAUCCCUCCCCCCUCCACUUCCCUCCUCAGAUGAACCCUAGCUCUUUAACUUUCAGUUUCAUUGAAUUUGAUUCCAUUUAUUUGGGAUUUUCUUUUCUUUUUAAUUGAAACUGUUGUGGCUUUUAUGUGUUUUUUUGUUGGUCUGAAUCAAGCCUUUGAUUUUCUGGAUUAUAUGAAAGUUGAGUUGGACAGUGAAUUUCGGUGAAAGCCAAAAACAUGACGCAAAAUAGGGACGAACCUCCUGCGGUUCGAGUAUAUACCAUCUGCGACGAAUCAAGAUAUCUGAUCGUGAGGAACGUUCCAGCGUUGGGAUGUGGCGACGAUUUGUUGAAUUUAUUCGCCUCAUAUGGAGACAUUGAAGAGUGCAAACCAAUGGAUGCAGAAGACUGUGAGCCUUUCACUGAUGUUUAUUGGAUCAAAUUUCGUCUGGUCAGUAAUGCCAGAUUUGCAAAAAGGAAAUUGGACGAAUUUGUUUUUCUCGGGAAUCGACUGAAGGUUGAAUAUGCUCCUCAUUUUGAGAGCCUUUCUGACACAAAGGAGAAGUUAGAAGGGAGGAGAAAGGAAGUUUUAUCACGACUGAACCCUGGAAGAUCCAAAAUGCCAACAGUUCAUAAUCCAGAUGCUUUGGAUGAGCCUUUAUUGGUUAAAAAUCCCUCACAGACCAAUUGCAUUUCAAAGCAGAUGAGCUUUAACCAGAGGAUAUCUGGAGAAUCAGAUCAUGUUUCUUGCAUUAAAGAUUCUUCAAUCACAACAGUUUCCUCUAACCAGGAUUAUUUCGGGUCCCCAUCAAUGAAUCAGACAGUUCGGUUGGUAAGGGAGAAGCUUGAUAAGAUACAAUCAAGCAGCCAGCACUUAGAAGCUGAGCCUGCAUUCAAGAAAACUCGAGUGGACAACAGAAGAAGAAUCUAAUGAUUUUUUAGCCUGAGUUCUGGAUCCUUUCACAUUGGUUCAUGCUAUUUUUAUCACAUCAAUUGAUCUACAUAUUGUGCUCAUGUAAAAUCUGAAUUUAUAAAAGGUGGCAAAGAGGAGGGAACCCAGGCAUGGGAUGUAGACAACGAAACAUCCAAAGAACAAAAACAAAACAGUGUUGCAGUUUUGUAUAACUGCUGAUGUAAUUGCAAUAUUUCAAUGGGAAGUCAAGGAAAUAGAAAUCAUGUAGGUAUUGUUGUUUAGCUCGUUGAAAUCAAUUUGUUCUCAAUAUAUGAGAUGAGGAUAAAUUGCCAAAUGCCCGAUUCCUCAAUUUGUUCUCAAUAUAUAAGAUGAGGAUGAGUUGCCAAAUGCUCCAA